CCCCCCGCCUCUCUGCUUGUAUCUUCCCUACGAACCCUCUCUAUUGCGCAUUCAUUUGAGCUACGAGCAGGGUGCCUUCUCCAAUCUUGGUGUGCUUUGACGUAGCAAGGCAUUUCUCUCCUCCUAAACAGUAAGCUAAUAGAUCCAGCCAAACAACUGCACCGGAUCCAUGGCCAAGACUGGGGUAUGAAACGACAAGUAGGUAUCGUUCAAAAUCAAGAGAAAUCGCAUUACCCCCCUCUCUCUCUCUCUCUCAUAGCCUAGUACUAUUGUAGAGUGGACUACAAUCCCUCAAUCUUCUCCUCGGUCAUAUCUAGUUCAUUCUAGAGAGCGGAGAGCUUGUUGAAACAAGCCUCAACGGUCAUGUUUCCUCAUUUUAGUUUCGAGAGCACUUGAGUCAAUGAAAUUUUUUUUGCUCGAUCAAGUUUCCUGCACAUCUCUUCAAUGGUUUACCACAUUUUCUUCAAAUUCUCCGUUGGAGGAAGUCUGGUUGCGACGUCUGGAGCGAUGCAAUUCCCGAUCCAAGUUUGGACAACUUGGUCAUGCCAAGGGCUCGUUGGAGAGAAUUGGAACCAUUCUAUCAAGAAAGCCAUCUUUGUCUUUGAUAAUUAAUACUCGUCAAAACUCCUGCAAUCAAAUAUGGUAGUUAUCGGGGUUGGACAGCUACUGGGUAAUGAGUCACAACUCUGGCCUAUCGACCAUGGUGGUGUAGAGCUAAUCACUGGACUCCGGGCGACUGCUGAUGGCGGGAACAUGGUACAGCACGUAGCCAGAUUGAAGAACCGGUAGGGAUUUGCUCCUAAAACCCAUUGUACCCGGUUUAGAAACUUGACCCGCAUGAAAAAAAAUUUGGCCCAGGGAUCGUGGUUGCCCCAGUCAUAGCUGAUGGGCCUUCCCUAGGCUGGACGUGUUCUCAGUUUCCUUGGUUCAUGGGCUCUUGAAAAUUCUGGGCUUGAUCUGGUUAUGAAUCAGCCCACAUAGUGGCUUGGACCGGCCCAUAAAACCAUGGGAUGGACGGACCUUGCAUAGGCAGCCAUUGGAUGGUCUGGCCCGGAAUGGGGAAUGGGUGGCCCCUGAUUUGGCUGGGCUUGGAAAGGUUGUCAUGAAUGGGCUGGGCCUGGACGAAUUGCCCCUGGCUUGACAUGAGCCGUAUGGCCUCAGCAGUUGGAUUUGAUCCAGGUUUUGCACGUGGAGGUUAAUGAGUUCUGGAACAACAAAGAUAGAAGACUGGACGGGGAGGAAAACAAUGACAAGUGCACGGAAGCCAGGCCAAAAAAAACCACUCUGAUAUCAUGUCACGUAUGAAAAAAAGGGAGAAGAACUGAGAAUGAAUUGAAGCUUUUGUAUUUCUAUACUAUAGAUUGUGUUAAUUACAUGUACAAUGUUCAUUAUAUAGUGCAGAAUAUGAACAAUAAAAGGAAGGAAAAUCUCGUAGGCGAAUCAUAAUGAAUCAAUUAUAAUCCUAGAUUGAUUCA